AUCCAUCCCAUGGCUCCCAAAUUGACGUCACAACAUUCGGUGUCCGUGGCAAGAAUGGAUGUUGGGAGGAUUGUAAACUUUAGCAUCAAGAGUUACCUUCCUCCAGUUGGCUCCAUGCUAGCUAUUAUUAACCUUGAGCAAAUUUGAAUCACUCAUAUAGUGUACCAGAAGUCAAGGUGCAUCUUGAGUCGCUCCAGCUUCACCCAUGUUUAGAGUCUGGUGUCCUGCAAAUAGAAGAAGGCUUCUUAAAAUUCCAGAUACAAUCUUCUGUAGUAGUGGUCUUGUUAAUUGCGCGUGUGUUCCAAGGGGGCAUACAUAUUUUAGAGGUUUAACACUGGUCGUGUCAAACAUGUACUUCUAGGAUGCCCAUGCACAACACGCAACAGUACCGACCGUUUUUACCAGUGAAUUACUUAUUCUUGUGGUACCGACUAUCUCAACGUCAAGGGCGCAUCCGGCUCACAAUUACCAUUCACAUGUUAGUUCCUAACUGCGUAGCAAUGCAUAUCUUGUCAACCUUAUUAAUUAGAAAUAUGAUUUUGAUCUUCUUUUUUUGGUGACUAAUCAGUCAAAUAUUUGGAAGUAGUAAUUUAAUUUUUGAAUAUUUUAAUAUUUUUUGUUGAUAAUAUUUUUGCGAUUGCAACAUAUGUAAAAAAAUAUUGAGGUAUAUAAAAUCAAAGUAAAGCAAAGACCCCCCCCCCCACCUCGCAUGUUUCUAAACAUGAGAAAAUCAGUUACUAAAGCCAUAAUAAUGCAUAUCUAUAUAAUAUGUAAUUCACUCUAAAAAAAUGAAAAUCACAUUAUACAAGUCAAGCAUACUCAAAGGAACUGGCAAUAUUUUUGUCCAGCACAUCUCAGUCGAACAGCUAAUUCCAAGAUGGGCAUUAUAUGGCUCUCCCCAGCUUGGUAGGCUGCACCAUGCUUCUUUCUCCAAAUAGAAGAGCAUAGUAAAUGUUUUAGUAAAUACAUGAAGACGACGCAUGGCACGAAACAAUUAUCCAGCAGUUGAAAAGCAUCAAACUGGACGAGUUGACGAACUUUACCUGCUUGACAAUCCCGCAGCCCCAUUGAGCCUGGCGUCGAGCCCGCCAACCUCGGAGAAUAACGAAUCCCCACAGCUGCUGACUAUUCCACCUGCUUCCACAAGCACCCCUUCGACCGCCAGCAAUGCCGCCUCCCGCCACCGAUGGUCAACGUAAACAUGCACAGAAACAAUGAAAUGGAUAACACAUCAGAACCAUCAAAUUUCAAACCUCGUCACAAAGCAGAGCAUAAUGUACUCAAUAAAAAUCAAGUAACCCUCCCCCAUCAGCAUCUACUCAAUUAGACUACUAAUCCGGCUACCUUCUUUUCGGGGCAAAAAAAUAACAAAUCUACAACCACCCUCGCGCAAGCAAGAAGUAAUAUAUAGUGAAAAAAUCAAACACAAAUUCGGCGAAGAACACACUGUACGGACGCAACUAUUUUCCACAAUGUUAUCUGGUGAUAAAUUUGCAACUAUUUUUUGGACAUAUUUUCCACGAAUGUCAUCUGGUGACAAAUUUCUAUUCGCUAUGAAAACAUUUGUUCUCAUGCAAACUGAAGUACUCCCUCUGUUUCUAAAUAUAAGUCCAUUUAGAAAUUUCAAUAUGGACUACAUACGGAUGGAUAUAGACAUUCUUUAGAGUGUAGAUUCAUUCAGUAGUCCAGAUAAGAUAGUGAUUGACAGAGUUCUCUAGUCACUAUCACCAAGUUACUAGAACUUCGUGAUGAACUAUAAUAUGCAAGGGAUAAACGGAAACGAUUCCCAAGCUCUUCGUGAUGCUGAAAUCGACGAAGGUAGAAAUCAAGAAAAGCAUCAAGUGUUGAUGGUUGACAAGACCACUAGUUUCAAGAAAAGGGCAAAGGGAAGAAGGGGAACUUCAAGAAGAACGGCAAGCAAGUUGCUACUCAAGUAAAGAAGCCCAAGUCUGUACCUAAGCCUGAGACUAAGUGCUUCUACUACAAAGGGACUGGUCACUGGAAGCGGAACUGCCCCAAGUAUUUGGCGGAUAAGAAGGAUGGCAAAAUGAACAAAGGUAUAUUUGAUAUACAGAUUAUUGAUGUGUAUUUUACUAGUGUUCGUAGCAACUCCUCGGUAUUUGAUACUGGUUCAGUUGCUAAGAGUAGUAACUCGAAACGGGAGUUGCAGAAUGAACAGAGACUAGUUAAGGGUGAAGUGACGAUGUGUGUUGGAAGUAGUUCCAAGAUUGAUAUGAUCAUCAUCGCACACUCCCUAUACUUUCGGAAUUAGUGUUGAACCUAAAUAAGUGUUAUUUGGUGUUUGCGUUGAGCAUGAAUAUGAUUUGAUCAUGUUUAUUGCAAUACGGUUAUUCAUUUAAGUUAUUUGGUGUUUGCGUUGAGCAUGAAGAAACUCCAUGCUGAUGGGAUUUUGGAAUCACUUGAUUAUGAAUCACUUGUUGCUUGCGAACCAUGCCUUAUGGGAAAGAUGACUAAGACUCCGUUCUCCGGAACAAUGGAGCGAGCAACUGACUUAUUGAAAAUAAUACAUAUUGAUGUAUGCAAUCCGAUGAGUGUUGAGGCUCACGGCAGGUAUCGUUAUUUUCUCACUUUCACAGAUGAUUUGAGCAGAUAUGGGUAUACCUACUUAAUGAAACAUAAGUCUGAAACAUUUGAAAAGUUCAAAGAAUUUCAGAGUGAAGUAGAAAAUCAUCGUAACAAGAAAAUAAAGUUUUUACGAUCUGAUCGUGGAGGAGAAUAUUUGAGUUACGAGUUUGGUCUUCAUUUGAAACAAUGCGGAAUAGUUUCGCAACUCACGCCACCUGGAACACCACCGUGUAAUGGUGUGUCCGAACAUCGUAACCGUACUUUAUUAGAUAUGGUGCGAUCUAUGAUGUCUCUUACCGAUCUACCACUAUCAUUUUGGGGAUAUACAUUAGACACAGCUGCAUUCACGUUAAAUCGGGCACCAUCUAAAUCCGUUGAGACGACACCAUAUGAACUAUGGUUUGGCAAGAAACCAAAGUUGUCGUUUCUUAAAGUUUGGGGUUGCGAUGCUUAUGUGAAAAAGUUUCAUCCUGAUAAGCUCAAACCCAAAUCGGAAAAAUGUGUCUUCAUAGGAUACCCAAAGGAGACUGUUGGGUACACCUUCUAUCGCAGAUCCGAAGGCAAGACAUUCGUUUCUAAGAAUGGAUCCUUUCUAUAGAAGGAGUUUCUCUCCAAAGAAGUGAGUGGGAGAAAAGUAGAACUUGAUGAGGUAACUAUACCUGCUCCCUUAUUGGAAAGUAGUUCAUCACAGAAAUAUGUUCAUGUGACUCCUACACCAAUUAGUGAGGAAGCCAAUGAUGAUGAUCAUGUAACUUCAGAUCAAGUUAGUACCGAACCUUGUAGGUCAACCUGAGUGAGAUCCGCACCAGAGUGGUACGGUAAUCCUGUUCUGGAGAUCAUGUUACUUGACCAUGACGAACCUACGAACUAUGAGGUAGCGAUGAUGAGCCCAGAUUCCGCAAAAAUGGCUUGAGGCCAUGAAAUCUGAGAUGGGAUACAUGUAUGAGAACAAAGUGUGGACUUUGGUUGACUUGCCUGAUGAUCGGCAAGCCAUAGAAAAUAAAUGGAUCUUCAAGAGGAAGACGGACGCUGAUAGUAGUGUUACUAUCUACAAAGCUAGACUUGUCGAAAAAAAGGUUUUUAAAAAAGUUCAAGGUGUUGAUUACGAUGAGAUUUUCUCACUCGUAGCGAUGCUUAAGUCUGUCCGAAUCAUGUUAGCAAAUUGCCACAUUUUAUGAAAUCUGGCAAAUGGAUGUCAAAACUACAUUCCUUAAUGGAUUUCUUAAAGAAGAGUUGUAUAUGAUGCAACCAGAAGGUUUUUGUUGAUCCUAAAGGUGCCAACAAAAUGUGAGUGGGAGCACUACAGCAUUUUUGAUAAAUAUAUGUGACUGGUGCAAGCAUCUCGGAGUUGGAAUAUACGCUUUGAUGAGUUGAUCAAAGCAUAUAGUUUUAUACAGACUUGCGGUGAAGCCUGUAUUUACAAGAAAGUGAGUGGGAGCACUACAGCAUUUCUGAUAAAUAUAUGUGAAUGACAUAUUGUUGAUCGGAAAUAAUGUAGAAUUUUCUAGAAAGCAUAAAGGAAUUUUUGAAAGGAGUUUUUCAAAGAAAGACCUCGGUGAAGCUGCUUACAUAUUGAGCAUCAAGAUCUAUAGAGAUAGAUCAAGACGCUUGAUAAGUUUUUUUAAUGAGUACAUAAUUUGACAAGAUUUUGAAAUAGUUCAAAAUGGAACAGUCAAAGAAAGAGUUCUUGCCUGUGUUACAAGGUGUGAAAUUGAGUAAGACUCAAAGCCCGACCACGGCAGAAGAUAGAAAGAGAAUGAAAGUCAUUCCCUAUGCCUCAGCCAUAGGUUCUAUAAAGUAUGUCAUGUUGUGUACAUGAUCUAUUGUAUACCCUACCACUGAAUUUGGCAAGGGAGUACAAUAGUGAUCUAGGAGUAGAUCACUGGACAGCGGUCAAAAUUAUCCUUAGUGGAAUAAGGAUAUGUUUCUCGAUUAUGGAGGUGAUAAAAGGUUCGUCGUAAAGGGUUACGUCGAUGCAAAUUUUGACACUGAUCCAGAUGACUCUAAGUCUCAAUCUGGAUGCAUAUUGAAAGUGGGAGCAAUUAGCUAGAAUAGCUCCAUGCAGAGCAUCGUUGACAUAGAAAUUUGCAAAAUACAUACGGAUCUCAAUAUGGCAGACCCGUCGACUAAACUUCUCUCACAAGCAAAACAUGAUCACACCUUAGUACUCUUUAGGUGUUAAUCACAUAGAGAUGUGAACUAGAUUAUUGACUCUAGUAAAACCUUUGGGUGUUGGUCACAUAACGAUGUGAACUAUGGGUAUUAAUCACAUGGUGAUGUGAACUAUUGGUGCUAAAUCACAUGGCGAUGUGAACUAGAUUAUUGACACUAGUGCAAGUGGGAGACUGAAGGAAAUAUGCCCUAGAGGCAAUAAUAAAGUUCUUAUUUAUUUCCUUAUAUCAUGAUAAAUGUUUAUUAUUCAUGCUAGAAUUGUAUUAACUGGAAACAUAAUACUUGUGUGAAUACAUAGACAAACAGAGUGUCACUACUAUGCCUCUACUUGACUAGCUCGUUGAUCAAAGAUGGUUAUGUUUCCUAGCCAUAGACAUGAGUUGUCAUUUGAUUAAUGGGGUCACAUCAUUAGGAGAAUGAUGUGAUUGACUUCCCAUUCCGUUAGCUUAGCACUUGAUCGUUUAAUAUGCUGUUAUUGCUUUCUUCAUGACUUAUACAUGUUCCUAUGACUAUGAGAUUAUGCAACUCCCGUUUACCAGAGGAACACUUUGUGUGCUAUCAAACGUCACAACAUAACUGGGUGAUUAUAAAGAUGCUCUACAGGUGUCUCCGAAGGUACUUGUUGAGUUGGCGUAUUUCGAGAUUAGGAUUUGUCACUCCGAUUGUCGGAGAGGUAUCUCUGGGCCCACUCGGUAAUACACAUCACUAUAAGCCUUGCAAGCAUUGUAACUAAUGAGUUAGUUACGGGAUGAUGUAUUACGGAACGAGUAAAGAGAUUUGCCGGUAACGAGAUUGAACUAGGUAUUGAGAUACCGACGAUCGAACCUCGGGCAAGUAACAUACCGAUGACAAAGGGAACAACGUAUGUUAUUAUGCGGUUUGACCGAUAAAGAUCUUCGUAGAAUAUGUAGGAGCCAAUAUGAGCAUCCAGGUUCCGCUAUUGGUUAUUGACCGGAGACGUGUCUCAGUCAUGUCUACAUUGUUAUUGAACCCGUAGGGUCCGCACGCUUAAAGUUCUGUGACGAUCGGUAUUAUGAGUUUAUGUGAUUUGAUGUACCGAAGGUAGUUUGGAGUCCCGGAUGAGAUCGGGGACAUGAUGAGGAGUCUCAAAAUGGUCGAGACGUAAAGAUCGAUAUAUUGGACGACUAUAUUCGGACAUCGGAAAGGUUCCGAGUGAUUCGGGUAUUUUCGGGGGUACCGGGGAGUUACGAGAAUACGAGGAAGAAGUAAUGGGCUUCAUGGGCCAAGUGGUGGAAGAGAGGAGGCAGGGCGCGCGGCCCCCCUUUCCUCCUUUUCCUCCCUCUCCUUCCUUCUCCUUCUCCUCCUUCCUUUCCUCCUCCUAGUAGGAGUAGGAAAUGGGAGUCCUACUCCUACUAGGAGGAGGACUCCUCCUCCUGGCGCGCCCUGCAAGGGCCGGCCGGCCUCCCCCCUUGCUCCUUUAUAUACCGGGGCAGGGGGCACCCCAACACACACAAGUUGAUCAGUUGAUCUCUCCCAACCGUGUGCGGUGCCCCCCUCCACCAUAAUCCACCUCGAUCAUAUCGUAGCGGUACUUAGGCGAAGCCCUGCGUCGGUAGCAACAUCAUCAUCGUCAUCACGCCGUCGUGCUGACGAAACUCUCCGGCGAAGCUCUGCUGGAUCGGAGCUAGCGGGACGUCAUCGAGCUGAACGUGUGCUGAACUCGGAGGUGUCGUGCGUUCGGUACUUGGAUCGGUCGGAUCGUGAAGACGUACGACUACAUCAACCGCGUUGUACUAACGCUUCCGCUUUUGGUCUACGAGGGUACGUGGACAACACUCUGCCCUCUCGUUGCUAUGCAUCACCAUGAUCAUGUGUGUGCGUAGGAAUUUUUUUAAAAUUACUACGUUCCCCAACACACGUCUCCCUCUCUGGGCAUAUCCAACUCCGCCCACCUAACCGCAGGCCACCCUAUGGCCACCUCCCUCGCAACCAUGCAUCCCUCAAAUUUCAACUCUGCCCACCUAACCGCAGGCCACCCUAUAUCCAACGUAACCAUGCACAGAAACAAUGAAAUGGAUAACACAUCAGAACCAUCAAAUUUCAAACCUCGUCACAAAGCAGAGCAUAAUGUACUCAAUAAAAAUCAAGUAACCCUCCCCCAUCAGCAUCUACUCAAUUAGACUACUAAUCCGGCUACCUUCUUUUCGGGGCAAAAAAUAACAAAUCUACAACCACCCUCGCGCAAGCAAGAAGUAAUAUAUAGUGAAAAAAUCAAAC
rnacentral:lncRNA from 1 species